UUCGACGCAACGCGAAGAACCUUACCUGGGCUUGACAUCUGCGGAAUUUCUCGAAAGUGGAAGUGCCUUCGGGAGCCGCAAGACAGGUGCUGCAUGGCUGUCGUCAGCUCGUGUCGUGAGAUGUUGGGUUAAGUCCCGCAACGAGCGCAACCCUUAUCUUUAGUUACCAUCAUUCAGUUGGGGACUCUAAAGACACUGCCCCGGUCAACGGGAGGAAGGUGGGGAUGACGUCAAGUCCUCAUGGCCCUUAUGUCCAGGGCUACACACGUGCUACAAUGGGCGAUACAGAGGGAAGCAAGGCCGCAAGGUAGAGCUAAUCCCUAAAGUCGUCCUCAGUUCGGAUUGGAGUCUGCAACUCGACUCCAUGAAGUUGGAAUCGCUAGUAAUCGCGGAUCAGCACGCCCGCGGUCGAAUACGUUCCCGGGCCUU
rnacentral:rRNA from 1 species